rnacentral:rRNA from 1 species
GCAGGCGCGCAAAUUACCCAAUCCUGACACAGGGAGGUAGUGACAAGAAAUAACAAUACAGGGCUAAUGUCUUGUAAUUGGAAUGAUGGUGACCCAAACCCUCACCAGAGUAGCAAUUGGAGGGCAAGUCUGGUGCCAGCAGCCGCGGUAAUUCCAGCUCCAAUAGCGUAUAUUAAACUUGUUGCAGUUAAAAAGCUCGUAGUUGAAUUUUAGCGUGUUCGAGUUUGCCAUUCGUUUGGCUUUUUCGAGUUCGCUUUUGGGUUUUCCCUUUUUACUUUGAGAAAAUUAGAGUGUUUCAAGCAGACUUUUGUCUUGAAUACUUCAGCAUGGAAUAAUAGAGUAGGACUUUGGUUCUAUUUUGUUGGUUA